ensembl:lncRNA
GACGAAUUUAACACGAGACACCCGUCCCUGGAGACUUUCUUCAGCAAAGAUGGCUGACAAAACAUUAUGGGGGAAGCCAAUAUCAACUCAAGCAUUAACUGGCCAGGCCAGAUUCUUCAGUGCAUGCAGGUGAAAAACAACAAGUUGUAUCACAAAGGAGUGUUGAGGGCCAAAUACACAACUAGGAAGUAAUUUGCUGUUUGGGGUAAGUUUCUCAAAAAUAAGUGAAAUCACCCCAAAAAAAUGUCUUGACCCUUCUACAACAUUCCAUUUACAUCACAAAUAGAGAUUUGGUUGUAAAACAUAAAACUUGUCCUUUAAUGGCGUGUGAUAAACAAGGCACUUCUCAGGCAGCAGAAGAAAUUUGGCAUGCCCCCCCCCCCCACCAAAUUGUGACGCAGCACCAUCGAGAGCAUCAUAACCGCCUGGAUCACGGCCUGUUACGGAAACCUCUUUGUCCACGACUACAAGACCCUUCGGUGGGUAGUGAAGACGGCCCAGUACUUCACUGGAGCCGUGCUCCCAACCCUACAGGACAUCGACUCCAAGCGGUGCUUGAGGAAGGCCCGCAACAUCAUCAGAGACCCCAGCCAUGGACUAUUCACUCCGUUACCGUCUGGCAAACGGUACCGCAGCAUCGGGUCCUGGACCUCCAGACUCAGAGAUAGUUUUUAUCCAAAAGCCAUGAGAUUACUGAACUCUUGACUCCCUGCAUCCUACCAGGCAUGCAUGCAUUCACUCACACAUAGGCUCCAACACACAUAGAAACACAUACACAAACUACAAACACACUCCAUGACUGCUGCUACUGGACUCCUAUUCAUAUUACUGCACAAUGUCUAUUAUUAUUGCCCAAUCUAUUGCAUCAUUCCCCAGAACAUGUGUAAAUAUAUUGUAUUGAGUGCCUUGUAUAAUAUUUUAGCAAAAUGUUUAUCCCAUUUUGUAUUCAUUUCUUUUAUUUUGUAUACUCUUUAAUCACUUAAAGAGGUCCACCAGCAAUUUUUUAAAAACUUUUCCUGUUGAAAAGCGAUAUCCCAAGUAUAAAUACAGUAAAGUACACACACUGAAGGAUAUGUUUUGAGCAAAACAAGUUGUGUUUAUAGACACAACUGCAAACUUCAAAGAGUAGGGCAGGGGUAGGCAACCCUGGUCCUGGAAUGCCGCAGGCAUUUCAUGUUUUUCAUUUAACCAAUCUGGAAGACCAGGUGUGUUGAAUUUAGGCAAUCAUUGAACUGAUCAAUUAACUCAGCUGGUCAGGUGUGGUGUCUAGUUGGACCAAAAUCCUGCAGUACCUGCGACACUCCAGGAACAGGGUUGCCUACACCUGGAGUAGGGCAUUCGAUGAGUUGGUCCGAUGGUCAAAUGUGAUGUCAUCUUCCUUCCCCUUGCUUGAGGAACAAUAGAGGAGCACUUGUGUCAUGUCAUGUCUGUUGAGAUGUGCCUUUUGUUAAGUAAAUCAGGUGUUAAAUGAUGUGAAAAGGAGAAUGGAUAACUUGAAUUACUUUCCUAUGGUUGUUGCAUUGUCGAGAGGUAAACAAGCGAAUAAGCAUUUCGUUGCACUGUGUACUCCACGUAUAUCAUGUGUAUGUGCAACAACAAAAAACUAACUAUCUCUGACAGCUCUCAUGAUUUACUGGCGACACUGCAUUGAGCAGCUACUGUAGCACCUUUGCAUUUUGCAAACUGGGUUUCCCUCCUAUGAAGAAUUGAGUUGCUGCUCUUUAACAUCUCCAAGGAUGCAGAGUUUGUUUAUCAUGGGCAAAAAUAUAGUAGACGUUAAGAAAGACCUUGAACAGAUACACACCUGUGUAACCUUUAUUUAACUAGGCAAGUCAGUUAAGAACAGAUUUGUAUUUGCAAUGACGGCCUACACCAGCCAAAACCAGCCAACGCUGGGCCAAUUGUGCACUGCCCUAUGGGACUCCCAAUCACAGC